rnacentral:rRNA from 1 species
AACGAACGCUGGCGGCAUGCCUAACACAUGCAAGUCGAACGAGACCUUCGGGUCUAGUGGCGCACGGGUGCGUAACGCGUGGGAACCUGCCCUUAGGUUCGGAAUAACUCCCCGAAAGGGGUGCUAAUACCGGAUAAUGUCUUCGGACCAAAGAUUUAUCGCCUUUGGAUGGGCCCGCGUUGGAUUAGCUAGUUGGUAGGGUAAAAGCCUACCAAGGCGACGAUCCAUAGCUGGUCCGAGAGGAUGAUCAGCCACACUGGGACUGAGACACGGCCCAGACUCCUACGGGAGGCAGCAGUGGGGAAUAUUGGACAAUGGGCGAAGGCCUGAUCCAGCAAUGCCGCGUGAGUGAUGAAGGCCUUAGGGUUGUAAAGCUCUUUUACCCGGGAUGAUAAUGACAGUACCGGGAGAAUAAGCGCCGGCUAACUCCGUG